rnacentral:lncRNA from 1 species
CCCAUGGAGGUAGGCUUGAGGUCGAUCCAUGUAUUUGUAUAUUAUUUUUUAUUUUAUUUCUUCUUUCUUCCUGCUGUACUAUGUGGUACCGAAUCCUGCACAACAUUGGGUUAAUGGGUUAGUGGGUUGAUCUGUUACAUGAUAGGAUUUUGGGUUAAUGGGUUGGAGGGAUGGGUUACUAGAUUUUAGGUUGUUUGGUCAUUGGGUUGUGGUAGGGUUGGAGUUCGGUUAGUGGCAGAGUUGGGUUUAGGUUGGCUUACAAUUAAUAGUGGGUUCAAUUAGGAUU